rnacentral:misc_RNA from 1 species
GAUGAAGAACGUAGCGAAAUGCGAUAAGUAAUGUGAAUUGCAGAAUUCAGUGAAUCAUCGAGUCUUUGAACGCACAUUGCGCCCCCUGGUAUUCCGGGGGGCAUGCCUGUUCGAGCGUCAUUGCUGCCCUCAAGCACGGCUUGUGUGUUGGGCCCCCGCCCCCCGGCUUCGGGGGGCGGGCCCGAAAGGCAGCGGCGGCACCGCGUCCGGUCCUCGAGCGUAUGGGGCUUCGUCACCCGCUCUGUAGGCCCGGCCGGCGCCCGCCGGCGACCCCAAUCAAUCUUUCCAGGUUGACCUCGGAUCAGGUAGGGAUACCCGCUGAACUUAAGCAUAUCAAUAAGCGGAGGA